GAAUACCCGCUGAACUUAAGCAUAUCAAUAAGCGGAGGAAAAGAAACCAACAGGGAUUGCCUCAGUAACGGCGAGUGAAGCGGCAACAGCUCAAAUUUGAAAUCUGGCGCAAGCCCGAGUUGUAAUUUGUAGAGGAUGCUUCUGGGCAGCGGCCGGUCUAAGUUCCUUGGAACAGGACGUCAUAGAGGGUGAGAAUCCCGUAUGCGACCGGUUUGCACCCGUCACGUAGCUCCUUCGACGAGUCGAGUUGUUUGGGAAUGCAGCUCUAAAUGGGAGGUAAAUGUCUUCUAAAGCUAAAUAUUGGCCAGAGACCGAUAGCGCACAAGUAGAGUGAUCGAAAGAUGAAAAGCACUUUGGAAAGAGAGUUAAAAAGCACGUGAAAUUGUUGAAAGGGAAGCGCAUGCAAUCAGACUUGUCGGCGGUGUUCCACCGGUCUUCUGACCGGCACACUCGCCGCCGGCAGGCCAACAUCAUCUGGGUGCGCCGGAUAAAGACGUGAGGAAUGUGGCCCCCUCGGGGGUGUUAUAGCCUCGCGUGCAAUACGGUGUCGCCCGGGUGAGGUCCGCGCUUCGGCUAGGAUGUUGGCGUAAUGGUUGUUUGCGGCCCGUCUUGAAACACGGACCAAGGAGUCUAACAUCUAUGCGAGUGUUCGGGUGUCAAACCCCUACGCGUAAUGAAAGUGAACGGAGGUGGGAACGAAAGUGCACCAUCGACCGAUCCUGAUGUCUUCGGAUGGAUUUGAGUAAGAGCAUAGCUGUUGGGACCCGAAAGAUGGUGAACUAUGCCUGAAUAGGGUGAAGCCAGAGGAAACUCUGGUGGAGGCUCGCAGCGGUUCUGACGUGCAAAUCGAUCGUCAAAUUUGGGUAUAGGGGCGAAAGACUAAUCGAACCAU
rnacentral:rRNA from 2 species